UACGAAGGGGGCUAGCGUUGCUCGGAAUCACUGGGCGUAAAGGGUGCGUAGGCGGGUCUUUAAGUCAGGGGUGAAAUCCUGGAGCUCAACUCCAGAACUGCCUUUGAUACUGAGGAUCUUGAGUCCGGGAGAGGUGAGUGGAACUCCGAGUGUAGAGGUGAAAUUCGUAGAUAUUCGGAAGAACACCAGUGGCGAAGGCGGCUCACUGGCCCGGUACUGACGCUGAGAUACGAAAGCGUGGGGAGCAAACAGGGAUUAAGAAACCCUGGUAACGUC
rnacentral:rRNA from 1 species